GUUCUUUCAUAGGUGAGGAUGCCGAGGGCCCUGGAGCCGCCCUGCUCAAGGUCACUAGUGAGUGAGCAGCUGCCCUGCAAAGCACUCUGCCCGGACUGGGGACAGCUGAUGCCAACAAGAGGCUGCAGAGAGUGGCGCAGCCUCCUCGGUACCAUACCUGCCCCCAAGUGGCCCUGGAUGCAGAAGAACCAGGAGUGGCUCAAAGGGCCCAGAAGGACAGCCUCAGUCACCCUUAAAAUCAGGGAGACUUUGUCUACCAAAGCCUUCCAGGUUAGCUUUGGACAGGGCCUGGGACCUAGGGAUCUCUCUCGUUUUCUCUUUCCCUCCCUCCUUCCCUCUCCCUCUUCUCCCCUCCCCAGGUUGC
rnacentral:lncRNA from 1 species